CAUGGCGAGCCUCACAAGCAGAGGCGAAUCUUUUUUGGCGUAGGUGGCUGCGAAGCUAUCUUCCGGAGCUGACCAAAAGAUCUAAGUGGUUCAAUAAGGUCGAGUCGAUUAGAAUGAAUGAUGUUGUGGUGGUGGUGGAUCCCGGACUUCCUCGGAACUGCUGGCCUCUCGGGCGUGUCAUCUCCAUCAAAACCAGCAAGGACAAUCAAGUCAGAACAGCAACUGUCCAGACCAGAAGUGGAAUCUACGAGCGUCCGGCCACGAAGUUAGCAGUACUUGAUGUUCGACGCGAUGGACCAGUAAGCCAGGAACCUGGCGUACCCGGGGGGGGGCUGUUGCGACCCCUCGGUCGGCGCGUCUCCACACAAGUCAAACGAAUAAAGGUCAGCUGUGGUAACGUCAACGUGACAUGUAGGUAGCCACCGAGCGAUCCGCUUGUCGUUGAUGAAUUGCAGAAAAAAUCAAAACAGAAGCUACAUGGAAUGUGAUGUGCAGUGAAUGCUAGCCAAAUUAUUAUAAUUCGUUAAUCUUAUACUGUUAUUAUUAGCAUUAGUAGAUCGAAAGUGAACUUAUGUACUCGAUUGAAUAGUGUGCUGAUAACCUAUAAUUGAAAUAGUACGGUGGUAAAUCUAAUCACAAUUAGUUAAUACUAAGUUCUAAAACUACAGAACUACUACGUGGGCAGAUCCCUUUGAUGCUCUAGUCGUUGCGUCAGUACUUUAGCGAAAGUGGUCCAGGUAAAUCUAAUUGGAAUGAGCCUAGAGAUUUUUUAACUAGUAAGCUAAUGAAUUACAGAGCUAAUUCCCGAAUCAUAAAAGUGGCCAGAAGGAGAAAAACCAAACCGAAAUAAGAAAACUAAACGUGAGUCCCACAACCUUUGUAAUUUAUGCCUGCCUAUUCAAUUUUUGCUAUGUUACAGGAUUUUUUUAAUACACCACUGCUAUUAAAAACACGGAAUUCUUACUUCUGACCGGU